AAAACCAGCUGGUACCCUGGGGGAAAGCCGGGCUCUUUCCAAGACAGGAUGAACUCUUCCCAGUCAGAUUUACAGCCUUCUACAUUUUUAAAGACAUCACGUCUCUGCUCAGUCUCCUCUGAACUUCAGCUGGUGGGAUUUAGAAGUUUACAGUAUUCCAGGACACAAAGCAUUGUAUUUGGGCCAGGGGACCAGGCUACAUCCCUGCUCCAGGAAGAAGCUGCAAUAACUAAUGCAGGAGCAGCUCCCCACAACACAGCCAGCAGCCACACACACCACUGUACGGACUGACACCACCCUGAUCCAUUUUAAUUUUGUUCCUCUGCACUGUCUCUAAUUUAACAGCAUUUUUAAGUCUAGUCUCUAGAACAAGGCAAGCUUACAACUACAGCUCCAACCUUAAUAGAAGAAUCAAAGUACUACUUGCAUCUUAAAAACUGCAUGAAAACAUGGGAAGAAGUUUUUGCAGCCAACAUGUCCUGCACUGCAGAUUAUUUCUACUUACACACUAAGGAGGAAUUCUGACUCCCAAGUAUUCCCACUGCAAGAGUAACACACUAAGACUGUUGACAUUGCUUUCUGAGUUUUAGUGCAGCAAGUUAAAAAUACACACUGUAACUAACAAAGUGAAUAAACAUCAAAUGUAUACUGAAAUACACAACUUUAUUUCCAAUCCCACAAACGCACCAGCCAGACGAUCAUUGAAAGGAAGAGACGCACACUCAAAUGUAUGCUUAGUUUUAUUUGUAACAUUUAAGAAAUAUUAACAUCUCAGGAUAUCUGGUUUACCAUCUAAGUCCAGUCAUAAGCAACAAAAAAGAAAAUGUUAACCAUGUUUCAGAUGAGCAUUCUUACAUUCAUUCCCCCCUGUAAUGUAAAGAAAAUUCAGCUUUAUUAAAUCUGUGUU